AACGAACGCUGGCGGCAUGCCUAACACAUGCAAGUCGAACGAGACCUUCGGGUCUAGUGGCGCACGGGUGCGUAACACGUGGGAAUCUGCCCUUUGCUUCGGAAUAACAGUUAGAAAUGACUGCUAAUACCGGAUGAUGUCGAAAGACCAAAGAUUUAUCGGCAAAGGAUGAGCCCGCGUAGGAUUAGGUAGUUGGUGGGGUAAAGGCCUACCAAGCCGACGAUCUUUAGCUGGUCUGAGAGGAUGAUCAGCCACACUGGGACUGAGACACGGCCCAGACUCCUACGGGAGGCAGCAGUGGGGAAUAUUGGACAAUGGGCGAAAGCCUGAUCCAGCAAUGCCGCGUGAGUGAUGAAGGCCUUAGGGUUGUAAAGCUCUUUUACCAGGGAUGAUAAUGACAGUACCUGGAGAAUAAGCUCCGGCUAACUCCGUG
rnacentral:rRNA from 1 species